rfam:Lysobacter dokdonensis DS-58 contig2, whole genome shotgun sequence.
GGGGGUGCACUGGCUUCGACGGGGGUCGCGAAAUCACUUGGCGCAUGCCGAGGGGGUAGCUUUCCUCGUUAAUCCAGCUGCAAAAACCUAGACGCGAACGACGACGUCUACGCUCUGGCCGCUUAAGGCCUAGCCCCGAACCCACUUGUGCCUGUGCUCGUGGAUGUAGGGUCAUCAUCACAGGAUCGGUUGGAGUGGCGACCCGUCAGCUUCGACUUAACCUAAAGCGGGUGUGUCCCUUGGUGUGCCUCGCACGUCGUGUUGCCAAGGGCCGAGAACGAACGGCGAGCUAAGCAUGUAGUGCCGGGGAUGGAGUGCCUUCGGACGGGGGUUCAAUUCCCCCCACCUCCACCA